AAUGAACGCUGGCGGCAUGCCUAACACAUGCAAGUCGAGCGAACGAAGGGGGCUUUCUCUUGGCUUCAGUGGGCGGCGGGUGGGUGAUGCCCACGUGUAUGCCCUGCCGUUGGGACUGGCGUCCCGUCACGGGAGCUGAUCUCGCAUCCGAUAAUAUGUUGAACGUGGGGGUUCAUCGGUGCAAGAGGUUUUUGCUGAGCCUAGGUCGGAUUAGCUAGUUGGAUGGGUAAAGGCCUACCAAGGCGACGAUCCGUAACUGGUCUGAGAGGAUGACCAGUCACACUGGAACUGAGACACGGUCCAGACUCCUACGGGAGGCAGCAGUGGGGAAUAUUGGGCAAUGGGCGAAAGCCUGAUCCAGCCAUGCCGCGUGUGUGAAGAAGGUCUUCGGAUUGUAAAGCUCUGUAAGUUGGGAGGAAGAGAAGUAAGUGAAUACCUGACUGUUUUGACGGUACCUACAGAAUAAGCACCGGCUAACUACGUG
rnacentral:rRNA from 1 species